GUGCACAUUUCAUUGUCUUUAGGCUUUAUGUUAAGAGAAAACAUAUUUCUGAUGUGCUAAAACUUUUGGAGGUAAAUUGGUAGUAUGACUAACUUAGCCAUUACUGUCAGUCACCUUCAGACAAGU